GACGAACGCUGGCGGCGUGCUUAACACAUGCAAGUCGAACGAAGUGGCGAACGGGUGAGUAACGCGUAAUCAACCUGCCCUUCAGAGGGGGAAAACAGUUGGCAACGACUGCUAAUACCGCAUACUGAAGGAGGGGAUUGCGUCUGAUUGGCUAGUGGGAGGGGUAACGGCCCACCAAGGUGAUGGUCAGUAGCCGGUGUGAGAGGAUGAACGGCCACAUUGGGACUGAGACACGGCCCAGAAUCCUACGGGAGGCAGCAGUGGGGAAUCUUCCGCAAUGGACGAAAGUCGGACGGAGCAACGCCGCGGGAGUGAUGACGGCCUUCGGGUUGGAAAGCUCUGUUAAUCGGGACGCGGUACCGGAAUAGAAAGCCACGGCUAACUACGUGCCAGCAGCCGCGGUAAUUC
rnacentral:rRNA from 1 species